GAUUAUUUAACUUUAAGGAAAGUAAGUAUUUUGAAAGUACCUAAAAAGAGUUCGACUCUCUUAAUAAUCU
rnacentral:tRNA from 1 species